rnacentral:rRNA from 1 species
GUCUUUUUGAGUUAAAUUUAAAGUCUGACCUGCCCACUGAAUUUUAAAUGGCCGCAGUAUUUUAACUGUGCAAAGGUAGCAUAAUCAUUAGUCUUUUAAUUGAGGGCUGGCAUGAAUGGUUGGACGAGGUAUCAACUGUUUCAUAUAAAUUUAUAUUAGAAUUUUAUAUUUUAGUUAAAAAGCUAAAAUGGAGUUAAAAGACGAGAAGACCCUAUAAAUCUUUAUAUUUUAUAUUAUUUGAAUUUUUUUGGUUUAUUUUAUUUUUAUUAUGUAAAAUAUUUUGUUGGGGUGAUGUUAAAAUUUAGUUAACUUUUAAUUGUUUGUAAUCAUUAAUUUAUGUGCUGUUGAUCCAUUAUUAGUGAUUAUCAGAUUAAGUUACUUUAGGGAUAACAGCGUAAUUUUUUUGGAGAGUUCAUAUCGAUAAAAAAGUUUGCGACCUCGAUGUUGGAUUAAGAGAUAGGUUUAGGUGUAGCUGCUUAAAUAUUAAGUCUGUUCGACUUUUAAAUUCUU